GACGAACGCUGGCGGCGUGCUUAACACAUGCAAGUCGAACGGUAAGGCCCUUCGGGGUACACGAGUGGCGAACGGGUGAGUAACACGUGGGUGAUCUGCCCUGCACUUCGGGAUAAGCCUGGGAAACUGGGUCUAAUACCGGAUAGGACCAUGGACUUCACGGUUUGUGGUGGAAAGCUUUUGCGGUGUGGGAUGGGCCCGCGGCCUAUCAGCUUGUUGGUGGGGUAAUGGCCUACCAAGGCGACGACGGGUAGCCGGCCUGAGAGGGUGUCCGGCCACACUGGGACUGAGAUACGGCCCAGACUCCUACGGGGAGGCAGCAGUGGGGAAUAUUGCACAAUGGGCGCAAGCCUGAUGCAGCGACGCCGCGUGAGGGAUGACGGCCUUCGGGUUGGUAAACCUCUUUCAAUAGGGACGAAGCGCAAGUGACGGUACCUAUAGAAGAAGCACCGGCCAACUACGUGCCAGCAGCCGCGGU
rnacentral:rRNA from 1 species